rnacentral:rRNA from 1 species
CGUCCUUCUGCUACGGGAUGGAGAGAAGGAGGAGUGACAAUUCCGCGCCCUGACGAAAUAGGGCGUUAAAAGAUGUAGGUAUAUUUUCUAUAGGCAAAUCCGUAGAGAAUGCUGAAGUCCAACAGUACCAGGAGGCUCCGGCCGAAUGGAUAGAGAAUGUAAGCAGACUUCCGAGAAAAUCUUCUAAGCAUAUUGAUACGGUACCCGUACCGCAAACCGACACAGGUAGUCAAGGAGAGAAUCCUGAGGUGCUCGAGUGAGUCAUGGCUAAGGAACUAGGCAAAUUAAACCUGUAACUUCGGGAAAAGGGUUGCCUCUCUUUAGCAAUAAAGAAGGUCGCAGAGAAACGGCCCAGGCGACUGUUUAACAAAAACACAUGGCUAUGCGAAAUCGUAAGAUGAAGUAUAUGGCCUGACACCUGCCCGGUGCUGGAAGGUUAAGGGGGGAAGUUAGUCGCAAGGCGAAGCUUUGAACUGAAGCCCCAGUAAACGGCGGCCGUAACUAUAACGGUCCUAAGGUAGCGAAAUUCCUUGUCGGGUAAGUUCCGACCUGCACGAAUGGUGUAACGAUCUGGGCACUGUCUCAGCCAUGAGCUCGGUGAAAUUGUAGUCACGGUGAAGAUGCCGUGUACCCGUCACGGGACGGAAAGACCCCAUGCACCUUUACUAUAGCUUCGCAUUGACAUUGGGUAGAUGAUGUGUAGGAUAGGUGGGAGGCGUUGAUCCUGUGCCGCUAGGUAUAGGGGAGCCAACGGUGAAAUACCACCCUUUAUUUAUCUGAUGUCUAAUCCGCAAGACCUGCGGAGACAGUGCGUGGUGGGUAGUUUGACUGGGGUGGUCGCCUCCGAAAGUGUAUCGGAGGCUUUCAAAGGUAUGCUCAAUACGCUUGGUAACCGUAUGUGGAGUGCAAUAGCAUAAGCAUGCUUGACUGUGAGACUGACAAGUCGAGCAGGGUCGAAAGACGGAUAUAGUGAUCCGGUGGUUCUGUAUGGAAGGGCCAUCGCUCAAAGGAUAAAAGGUACGCUGGGAUAACAGGCUGAUCUCCCCCAAGAGCUCACAUCGACGGGGAGGUUUGGCACCUCGAUGUCGGCUCGUCACAUCCUGGGGCUGGAGAAGGUCCCAAGGGUUAGGCUGUUCGCCUAUUAAAGUGGCACGCGAGCUGGUUUCAGAACGUCGUGAGACAGUUCGGUCCCUAUCUGUGAUGGGCGUAGGAAGUUUGAGAGGAUCUGACCUUAGUACGAGAGGACCGGGUUGGACCAACCGCUGGUGUACCGGUUGUGGCGUCAGCUGCAUCGCCGGGUAGCUACGUUGGGACGAGAUAAGCGCUGAAAGCAUCUAAGCGCGAAACUCACCUCAAGAUGAGACUUCCAUUAAGGGACGUCAGAGACUAUGACGUUGAUAGGCUGCAGGUGUAAAGGCAGAAAUGUCAAAGCUGAGCAGUACUAAUUACCCGA